GCUUAAGAGAACGAGACUGAAGAUAUAUCUCGUGAGUCAAAAGCUCGUGGACCACUGAAUCAACAGAAGGAGUUGGGCUACGACAUAUAAUUGAAGAUCGAAGUCCAUCAAAAUCAUUAGAAAGAGCCAUCAAAAAUUGAACUAGACGUUGUUCCUCUCUAUGAUUAACAUAUGGUUGAAAUGUUUGAAGCUCAGCUGGUUCCAUGAGAGCCAACUCGUUCCAA
rnacentral:lncRNA from 1 species